CUGCUCAAUGAAUUAAUUUUAAAUAGCUGCAGUAUAAAUAACUGUACAAAGGUAGCAUAAUAAUUUGUUUUUUAAUUAAAAACUAGAAUGAAUGAUUUUAUGAAAUAUAAACUGUAUCAAAUUUAAUUAAUAAAUUUAUUAUUUAAAUAAAAAAAUUUAAAUAAAUUUUAAAGACGAGAAGACCCUAUAGAAUUUUAAUAAUAAAUUAUAAAAUUUAUAAUUUUAUUAUUUUAAUUGGGGAAAUUUUAAAAUUUUAAAAAUUUUUAAUUUAAAAAACAUUAAUUUUUGAAUAUUUAAUAUUUUUUAAAAAAAUAAAAUAAAUUACCUUAGGGAUAACAGCAUAAUUUUUUUAAAAAG
rnacentral:rRNA from 1 species